GCCACGGUGGUCUAGCGGUUAGAACGCUCGCCUUGUAAUCCUGGGGUCUCGGGUUCGAUUCCCGGCGGUGCCC
rfam:Zootermopsis nevadensis contig1269, whole genome shotgun sequence.